rnacentral:rRNA from 1 species
AGGACGAACGCUGGCGGCGUGCUUAACACAUGCAAGUGGAGCGACGAACCAGGGCUUGCCCUGGGGCAAAGCCGCGAACGGGUGAGUAUCACGUGGGUAACGUGCCCCGAUGACCGGGACAACCCGAGGAAACUCGGGCUAAUACCGGAUGUGCUGUGUGGCCUCAAGGCCACUCAGCAAAGGAAGCUUCGGCCUCCGCAUUGGGAGCGGCCCGCGGCCCAUUAGCUUGUUGGUGAGGUAACGGCUCACCAAGGCAACGAUGGGUAGCUGGUCUGAGAGGACGAUCAGCCACACUGGGACUGAGACACGGCCCAGACUCCUACGGAGGCAGCAGUGGGAAUCUUGCGCAAUGCGCGAAAGCGUGACGCAGCAACGCCGCGUGAGGGAAGAAGGCCUUCGGCUGUAACCUCGUUUCAGGAGGGACGAAGGUUCGAGGCGCGAAUAGCCGUCCGUGGACUGGACCGGUACCUCCGAGAAGAACGCUCCGGACUAACCGUACGUACG